rnacentral:tRNA from 1 species
UCUUCGCUCAAGGCUGCUGAGGCUUUUCUUACCUAGAUCUUAAUAACUGCUUUUUUUUAAGGUUAAGCAGUUAU